rnacentral:lncRNA from 1 species
GUGCAACGGGGCCCGGGCGUGGGAAGGAACGGGGGGAGCGUGCAAAGAGCGGGGGCGUGCAAGGAGGGGGGGCGAGCGUGCAAAUAGAGCGGCGGGUGUGCAAAGAACGGGCGGAGCGCGCGUGCCGCGGGGGGGCCCGGGGAGUGCGCGGGGAGGGGUGGGGGUGUGCAAAGGCGCGGGUGAGUGUGCAAAGGGGCAGGUGAGCGUGCAAGGGCAAGGAGUGGAGGGGGGGGCGUGCAGGGCUCGCAGGGAGCGUGCACAGCUGGCGCUGAGCGUGCACGGUUGCUAUGGAGCGUGCACACCUGGCGGUGAGCGUGCAAAGCUGGCGGUGAGCGUGCAAGGCUCUCGGGGCGAGGGUGAGCGCAGGGAUUGCAGGGAGCGUGCACAGCUGGCUCUGAGCGUGCAAGGCAGGUAGUGAGCGUGCAAGGCUGGCAGCUGGCGUGCAAGGCUCUCGGGGCGUGCACCGAGUGUGCAAAGGUGUAGGGAGGUGCAUGUGCAGAUCUGAGGGGAGCGCGGUGAGUGUGCAAUGAGCGUGCACAGGGCCCGGGCUGAGGGCUGAGGGGGCACCGCGUGUGCAACGUGCGCGUGCAUGGCUGUGGGGGGGGGCACGGCCUGCAGGGAGCGUGCAAAGCUCCAGGGCUCAGCGUGAGCGUGCACAGCUGCUGGUGAGCGUGCAAGGCUCGAGGGUGCGAAGCUCUGAGGUGAGGCGUCGGUUUGCACGGGCAGAGGGGAGUGAGCGUGCACAGCUCUGAGGCCGUGCACUACUGGAGAUGAGUGUGUGAUGCUGUAGAGCUGCGUGUGUGAGGCUCCCGGGCAAAGUGUGAGCUUGCACAAUUCGAGGUGAACGUGCAAGGCUGUAGUGGUGCACGUGCAGAGCUCCCGGGCGCAGUGUGAGCUUGCACAACUGGAGGGGAGCGUGCGAGUUCCGUGCACUGAGCGUGAACAGGUCUAGAAGCAUGAGUUUGCACAAUGGCAGAUGAGUGUGCAAGGAACUAGGGCCGCUUGUGCAAAGCUGCAGGGUUGAGCAUGCACUUGCACGACUGGUGGUGAGCGUGCAAAGCUCCAGAGCUGAGUGUGCAGAGCUUGAGGUCUCAGGGCACGCUUGCACUGCUGGAGGUGAGUGUGCAAAGCUCUAGGGCUCGGUGUGCACUUGCACGGCAGGAGGUGAGUGUGCAAGGCCCCGGAGCUGUGCGUGCAAAGCUUGUUGGCGUAGCAUGAGCUUGCACACCUGCAGGUGAGCGUGCAAAGCCACCGAGCCAUCAUGCAGAGCGUGAGCUGGCACGGGGAGAGCUGAGCGUGCAAAGCUCCCCGGGUCCACGUGUGUGUGGAGGCGAGCGUGCGCGGCUGGCUGGGCGCAGUGUGCCCUUGCACACUUGUCGGUGAGCGUGCAAGGCCCGGCGGGGCGAGCGGAGCGUGCAUGGCCCGCUGUGAGCGCGCUGCCCCCCCCCCGGCGCUGAGCGUGCGCGGCCCCACGUGCUGCUGAGCCCCCCCCCCCCCAUACACACACGCUCAGUCCGGCUCACACGCGCGUGCAAAGCGGGUGGGGGGGGAUGCCGCAGCCCCCCGCUCCCCCCCCCCCAGCCCCCAACUGGGGGCCCCCGGGGCGCCCGUAGGGUCGGGAGCAGCGAUGUGGGGACCCCCCCAAGGCGGCCCCCCCUGGGCGGUUCGGGGCACUUUGGGGCCCCCCCACGGCGCCCGGCUGAGCCUGGAGGGAGGCAGCAGGACUGUGGCGGAUUACCACGGCGGCCGCUCCCGCAGGAAGAGCGUCCCCGGGGCAAACAGUACAGCAUCAACAUGGACGCACCGCCCGCCCCCCCCUUCCGGCCCUCGGUGAGCCCCCGCACACGCCUGUCGCCAUGGUGACCACGGCUGCACACGCCUGGCACCGCGGCUACCCGUCCUGCACACGCGUGUUGUUGUGGUGACCUCCAUCCUGCACACGCUUGUUGCCAUGGUUACCCCUCCUGGACAUACAUGUUGCCAUGGUUAUCCCUCCUGGACAUACGUGUUGUUGUGGUUAUUUCAUCCUGGACAUACAUGUUGCCAUGGUUACCCCAUCCUGGACAUACAUGUUGCCGUGGUUACCCUUCCUAGACACACAUGUUGUUGUGGUUACCCCAUCCUGCACACGCUUGUUGCCAUGGUUACCCCUCCUGGACAUACAUGUUGCCAUGGUUACCCCUCCUGGACACGCGUGUUGUUGUGGUUACCCCAUCCUGGACAUACGUGUUGUUGUGGUUAUUCCAUCCUGGACAUACAUGCUGUCAUGGUUACUUCUUCUGGACAUACAUGUUGCCAUGGUUACUCCUCCUGGACACACAUGUUGUUGUGGUUACCCCAUUCUGCACAUGCUUGUUGCCAUGGUUACUUCUCCUGGACAUACAUGUUGCUAUGGUUGCCUCAUCCUGGACACGCUUGUUGCCAUGGUUACCCCUCCCGGCCAUACAUGUUGCCGUGUUUCCCGCGCUGCUCCUGCUCACGGUUGCUGCUGUUCCCGCCUCCAUGACACGCCUGUAGCCGUGCUUCCCGUGGCUGUGCACGCCUUCACACCCGUGUUGCUGCGGUUGCCGCCUCCCGCACACGCCUGUCGCCAUGGCGACCCCACGCUGGGCUGCCACGGUGCCCCAUCCCGCACACGGCUGCCGCUGCUCACCCGCCUGCCCUGCGUUGCCGUGGUGACCCCAUCCUGCACACGCGUGUUGUCACGGUUCCCCGUGCUGCGCACACACCCC